CGUCAAUUAAGGAAGAUCAAUCGACCAGAUUUUACGAAGAUUCCUCGCGGAUUAGGAAAUACUUCACGGAAUUCUGAUUCGCUACAAAGGGAAGGUUAACAUUGCAACGGAAGGAACUCGAAUAAUUUCGAGGAAGCAUCUUUCUUCGUUGCGUUCAAAGGAGCUGCUUCUUCUAUAUUCAUAGAAACGCUCGUACAAUGUAUAAGUCGUAAAAUAGAAUCGCUAAUGACUCGUUAAUUAGAUCGCUGAUAAUUCGUUGAUAACUGGUUGAUA
rnacentral:misc_RNA from 1 species